rnacentral:lncRNA from 13 species
UUUUGAGAAGCACAGUCUAAGAGAACCUAAAACCAUAACACGUAUCAAUGAAUGACCAGAAAGUGAAAUAAGAUCAUUCCAACUUUGUUUCAGAUUUGCAUGAUAUUUUUUUCAUUUUGAAGAAACCGACGUCCUGCCAACACUGAACCUAAAACCAUACUUAUUCCAGAAGAUGAGGCUGCAUUCUCAAAUGUGUAAAAGAGCAGCAAACAAGAAGUGCCAAGAUGCAGAAGCCACGUUUCCCCUUUUAAACUCAUUUGUCUACGUGCGAAGAGGUUGAGACCUCCAGAAGUUGAAUCCGUGGCAGCCUCACAGGGCACCCAUUCCCCAUGUGUCCCUACACUGGACCAAGAAUGUGAGAGAAGCACAACCCUCUGGCAUGUUCUCUAUCCAGGACGUCCUAAGGACCCUCAUUCUCACUGAUGGACUGUGGCUUCUUGUAGUACACAGAUGCAACUGACUCAAGAGAAUUCCCCAAGGGUUUUGUGAUAGAAUAUUAGUCUGAUGGAGAAGAUUCCAUAAACAUGUCAUCUAGCACCAUGCUAGGCUCUGAGAGGAACACCGUGUUCAAGAUACCUACCCUUCAGGGAUCCUCCCAUUGCAGCGAAGAACACCCAUGAUCAACACAUCAUCAACAAAAUCAUUCCACAGAGCAGAUGGGUCGAGUCACAUGGAAAAGUCGCUUGGAGGCAGCAGGGAAGGGCAGCCUUUAUCUGCCAUGAUCUACGUGAUGGAAAACGGGGCCAGACCUAGACGGAUAUGUGGUGUGCUGCAAGCUGCAGUCUGAUUGAAAGCCAGCCCGGCAUGAUGCAACCGCAGAUGGAAGGAGAGGUUCUGUCCCUGUUCUUGGCAGGGUACGUAGAAUUGGUCACGGGUGGCACUGGGUCUCAGAUAGAAAUCUGAUGGCUCCAGUGUUUCACAUUUGCAUUCUCUCUGGCUUGAGCACUCCCAUAAUUUUAAUAGGGAAGAUUUAAGAACCCAUUUUGCCACAUAUCUCCACUGGAUAAUGGAAAGACAUGGAGGGCUGGGUGCAGUGACUCACACCUGUAAUCCCAGCACUUUGGGAGGCCGAGGUGGGAGGAUCACUUGAGCCCAGGAGUUUGAGACUGGCCUGGGCAACAUAGUGAGACCCUGUC